UACGUAGGGUGCGAGCGUUGUCCGGAAUUACUGGGCGUAAAGGGCUCGUAGGCGGCCAACUAAGUCAGACGUGAAAUCCCUCGGCUUAACCGGGGAACUGCGUCUGAUACUGGAUGGCUUGAGGUUGGGAGAGGGAUGCGGAAUUCCAGGUGUAGCGGUGAAAUGCGUAGAUAUCUGGAGGAACACCGGUGGCGAAGGCGGCAUUCUGGACCAAUUCUGACGCUGAGGAGCGAAAGCCAGGGGAGCAAAGCGGG
rnacentral:rRNA from 1 species